rnacentral:rRNA from 1 species
AUUGAACGCUGGCGGCAGGCUUAACACAUGCAAGUCGAGCGGAGAUGAGGUGCUUGCAUCUUAUCUUAGCGGCGGACGGGUGAGUAAUGCUUAGGAAUCUGCCUAUUAGUGGGGGACAACAUUCCGAAAGGAAUGCUAAUACCGCAUACGUCCUACGGGAGAAAGCAGGGGAUCUUCGGACCUUGCGCUAAUAGAUGAGCCUAAGUCGGAUUAGCUAGUUGGUGGGGUAAAGGCCUACCAAGGCGACGAUCUGUAGCGGGUCUGAGAGGAUGAUCCGCCAGACUGGGACUGAGAAACGGCCCAGACUCCUACGGGAGGCAGCAGUGGGGAAUAUUGGACAAUGGGGGGAACCCUGACCCAGCCAUGCCGCGUGUGUGAAGAAGGCCUUAUGGUUGUAAGGCACUUUAAGCGAGGAGGAGGCUACUGAGACUAAUACUCUUGGAUAGUGGACGUUACUCGCAGAAUAAGCACCGGCUAACUCUGUGCCAGCCGCCGCGGUAAAAC